AGAAACAGAUGAAGGUGUCGAUGAUGCUAAUUCAAGUUGGUCAAAUUAUCUUUACCGUUGGAGUUCUCUAAACUAAUAUUCAUUUUGACACGGCUUGGUGUGCCGAAAUUCCACUGGCGAAUUGAAGAACAAUUAUUAUAAACCCUGAACGAAUUUGAAGGUUGACGCUUUCACAAGAGGGAUUUUUAACCAGAAAAUAGAUGGAAUUCCUGAAAUUUUCAAAUUGAACGCGUGUUAAAGAACUGCAUGGAAUAGAUAGUAAGCUCAAAGAAAAACUCUAAAAUUUGUAUUGAAUUUGAAGUGUGAUUGCCCCAAUCGAAAUUUUAUUCACGGACAAUUGUAGUAAAUUAUUAGAAUUGAAUUGUACAUUUCGUUGAAUAGCAGAGUAGCUAACGUUGAACACAAUUACAUCAACAUUUUGAAUCAGAACUUGUCCAUUUAAAAUGAAAAAUCAUAAAUCGCCAGGAAUUAAAUUGUAACUUCCAGUAAGAUUUCUGUAUAGGCCUUUGCAUAUGCAUACGAACAUAAGCGU